GCGCCCGGACCCAGCUGGUGACGGGGCCGCGCUGUCGAUGCGGUACAGGCCGGUUCGAUCCCGGUCGGGCGCGCCA
rnacentral:tRNA from 1 species